ensembl:lncRNA
AUGAGGCUCAAUCGCAUACAAGACCGUGGCAAAAUCAAUCCAAUCAAUGCUAAUUGUGUGAGAGUGAUAACAUUGGCAGAGAGCAAUGAAGCCUCAGACUUGAAGAAAAGACAAUGGGAAAGAAGAGUGAGAAUGAGAAUCGAAAAAGGUGCGAGAUUCUGCUGAUAGCUGAUGUUGAAAUAAACCUAAUGAUUUUAAAGCAGAAUAUCAUCUGCUGUUCGAUUGGCUCACACUUUAAUGUGUAAAUACUGUGUUGUAAGAGGCUAUAAUUAGCCGUCUCACCUCUCUCUUCCCACUCAGGGAGAAACAGUGUGAUAAGGAAGGCACAGCUGCUCUCAGACUGGAUGAACUAAAGCACACGGCAGCCUCUGACUGCUCUCUUCACUCCGUCUCCCCUUCAGCUCGGUAGAGGAAUAGUAAAUUCUCUCAUUAUUUCUUCCAUGGAGAUCGAAAGGUGAACAAAAAAGUGAGUGAAGACUUGAAAAUGACAGAAAAGCACCAUAAAAAUGAUCUUUUUUAGCUCGCAGAUCACAUUCAUGUCCACAUAUAUUUAGAUAUGGCAUGUCAAGGCAUUACCAAGUGUUGUUAAAUAUGCCAUUGGUCACUGUCAUAGGUUCUCUUAACUUUAAUAUGCACAUAUUUAAUUUAAAUGAAAGGAUAUGAGGGCUAUGGCAGAG